rnacentral:rRNA from 1 species
GACGAACGCUGGUGGCGUGCCUAAUACAUGCUAGUCGAACGCAGUGGGGACGGGUGAGUAACACGUUGGUAACCUCCCCAUCAGAGGGGAUAACACUUGGAAACAGGUGCUUAACCGCUACUGCUGGAUGGACCCGCGGUGCAUUCGCUAGUUGGUGAGGUAACGGCUCACCAAGGCCACGAUGCAUACCCGACCUGAGAGGGGGAUCGGCCACACUGAGACUGAGCCACGGCCCAGACUCACACGGUAGGCAGCAGUAGGGAAUCUUCGGCAAUGGACGAAAGUCUGACCGAGCAACGCCGCUUGAGUGAAGAAGGUUUUCGGAUCGUAAAACUCUGUUGUUGGAGAAGCGGUAUCUAACCAGAAAGCCACGGCUAACUACGUGCCAGCAGCCGCGGUAAUAC